AAACUUCUCGACGACCCCGAUGGAUGGAUGGAACGGAUGGAUGGAAGAUACAGCGAAAUUGAAACGUAAGUAGGCUAAAGUCUUCUCGCUCCUUCUUAAACAGUGCAGUCCAGAUAUUUCUCUCUCCUCCCUCCCUCCCUCCUCAUUUCAUUGUUUUUACCCCACCUUCCCCACUGAACCUUCUAGAAUCCCCCAAUCUCUCUCUCUCUCUCUCUCUCCUUCUCUUUUUGUCAUCUUUCCCUAUAUUAUGAGUUUGUGUAUGUAUGCAAAAGCAAUGCCUCUGUAGAAUCUCAAAGGUGAUUCUCGAGGAGAGAGGUCUCUUAGGGUAAGCUCGUCCUUAAUAGUUUUUAUAAAAUUAGUGUUGGUGU